UACGAAGGGGGCUAGCGUUGCUCGGAAUCACUGGGCGUAAAGCGCACGUAGGCGGCUUUCUAAGUCAGGGGUGAAAUCCCGGAGCUCAACUCCGGAACUGCCUUUGAUACUGGAAAGCUUGAGUUCGGGAGGAGGUGAGUGGAACUGGCGAGUGUAGAGGUGAAAUUCGGUAGAAUUAUUCGCAAGAACACCUAGUGGCGAAAGGCAGCCAGCGGCUGGA
rnacentral:rRNA from 1 species